ensembl:snRNA U6 U6 spliceosomal RNA
GUGCUCGCUUCAGCAGCACAUACACUAAAAUUGGAACGAUACAGAGAAGAUUAGCAUGGCCCCUGCACAAAGAUGACACGCAAAUUCGUGAAGCAUUCCAUAUUUUU